GCCGGCAGCCAUAUCACCCUGCAGCCCAAGACUGGUCACCCACUGAAGCUAAGCAGGGUUGAGCCUGGUCAGUACCUGGAUGGGAGACAUCCUGGGAAAACUAGGUUGCUGCUGGAA
rnacentral:rRNA from 1 species